rnacentral:rRNA from 1 species
GACAGAGGGGGCAAGCGUUGCUCGGAAUCACUGGGCGUAAAGAGCUCGUAGGCGGUUUGUCGCGUCUGCUGUGAAAACUCGGGGCUUAACCCCGGGCCUGCAGUGGGUACGGGCAGACUAGAGUGCGGUAGGGGAGACUGGAAUUCCUGGUGUAGCGGUGAAAUGCGCAGAUAUCAGGAGGAACACCGGUGGCGAAGGCGGGUCUCUGGGCCGUAACUGACGCUGAGGAGCGAAAGCGUGGGGAGCGAACAGG